UAGCGCCAACGACUGGCAUGCCAGGGAUGAAUGCUGGGAAAAGCACAAAGGCUGCUGUUCACAAAUCUGUGCGAAAGCGCCGCAUCGCAGCGAUGGUACUGUUCUCAGCUGUGCUGCUGUCUGCACUGUUGUUGGCCUGUGGUGCUGCGUUAUGGAUGUGCAAAAAAUACCUAGUGUGCAAGAGAGAAGAAAGAGCAGCAGAACGAGCUCUUCCUGAUACCAACUGAGAGAGUGUUCCAGCUGGAGAUGAGGGCAGAACGGAGCUGGGAGAGGCAACAAGAGAGACUCCUGCCCAACCAAACCAGAAUCUCAACAAUAGUUCCAGUCCAUUCCAUUCUACCAUCCAAGAUA